UACGUAGGGUGCAAGCGUUAAUCGGAAUUACUGGGCGUAAAGCGUGCGCAGGCGGUUGUGCAAGACAGAUGUGAAAUCCCCGGGCUCAACCUGGGAAUUGCAUUUGUGACUGCACGGCUAGAGUGUGUCAGAGGGGGGGUAGAAUUCCACGUGUAGCAGUGAAAUGCGUAGAGAUGUGGAGGAAUACCGAUGGCGAAGGCAGCCCCCCUGGGAUAACACUGACGCUCAUGCACGAAAAGCGUGGGGGAGCAAACAGG
rnacentral:rRNA from 1 species